UAUAGAUUGAUGCUACCUUUGCUAAAAA
rnacentral:piRNA from 1 species